GUCUGUCAUCAGUUCAAAGCUCAGGUAAAUAAUUUGGUCUUAGUAUUUAUAUAAACACGGCUAGUUUUUUCCCCCUCUCAGCAUUUAUAUAUGCAGUGCCUAUUUGUAUAGGUCAAAACGAGGCUUUAAACUUCUGAUUAAAAACAAAAAGAUUUAAACUGCUUCGGUUUUGAUUCAUUUGUUUUUCCCUCUACUUGUGGCUGAGAAGAAAAGGUUUUAUGUGUGAUAUGCAUACUGGGUUUGGUAUUUUAUGAGUGAUUUGUCUUUAUGUUGAUGUCGUUCUCGCGUGGAUGUUAGGUUUUAGAGAAUAUAACAAACGUGCCUGUCUGUCCCACAGAGAGAGAGAGAGAGAG
rnacentral:misc_RNA from 1 species